UACGAAGGGGGCUAGCGUUGUUCGGAAUUACUGGGCGUAAAGCGCGUGUAGGCGGUUCGGCAAGUCAGAUGUGAAAGCCCGGUGCUCAACCCCGGAAUUGCGUUUGAUACUGCCGAUCUUGAAUUCGGUAGAGGUUGGUGGAAUUCCCAGUGUAGAGGUGAAAUUCGUAGAGAUUGGGAGGAACACCCGUGGCGAAGGCGGCCAACUGGACCGAUAUUGACGCUGAGAAGCGAAAGCGUGGGGAGCAAACAGG
rnacentral:rRNA from 1 species